rnacentral:rRNA from 1 species
AACGAACGCUGGCGGCAUGCCUAACACAUGCAAGUCGAACGAGACCUUCGGGUCUAGUGGCGCACGGGUGCGUAACGCGUGGGAACCUGCCCUUAGGUUCGGAAUAACUCCCCGAAAGGGGUGCUAAUACCGGAUAAUGUCUUCGGACCAAAGAUUUAUCGCCUUUGGAUGGGCCCGCGUUAGAUUAGCUAGUUGGUAGGGUAAAAGCCUACCAAGGCGACGAUCCAUAGCUGGUCUGAGAGGAUGAUCAGCCACACUGGGACUGAGACACGGCCCAGACUCCUACGGGAGGCAGCAGUGGGGAAUAUUGGACAAUGGGCGAAAGCCUGAUCCAGCAAUGCCGCGUGAGUGGUGAAGGCCUUAGGGUUGUAAAGCUCUUUUACCCGGGAUGAUAAUGACAGUACCGGGAGAAUAAGCUCCGGCUAACUCCGUG